CAUUAGUCAGCCCAGAAGAAGAGAUAAAGGCUGGCUAAUGUCAGUUUUUUGCAUGUUUGGUGUCUGUCACAUGAAAGCAUGCUGGAGAGAGAAAGACAAUGGCAAUGCAACCCUCUUCCAUGCAUCCCUGUCCUCCCUUCAGCCUGCCCUUCCCCUUCAACCAAAGAGAGGAUGAAGCCAGUGGAGGAGGAUCAGCCUGAGGGAGAACUUGGGCUUGGUGCUGAAACAGAGG